GGCAUAGAGGCGGUGUCAGGUGCCCGUGACAAGGCGGGAGAAUCGGGAAUCCGGUGAAAGACCGGAACGUGCCCAACGCUGUAAGGCUGACGUUUGCCGCAUGAUGCCACUGGUCCAACCGGGAAGGCGCGGCAGACGGACGACGCCAAGUCAGAAGACCGGCCCGACAAUCAUUGACUGC
rnacentral:ncRNA from 2 species